rnacentral:rRNA from 1 species
GAUGAACGCUAGCGGCAGGCUUAAUACAUGCAAGUCGUACGGGAUCCGAGGUAGCAAUACUUUGGUGAGAGUGGCGCACGGGUGCGUAACACGUAUGCAACCUACCUAUAACCGGGACACAACCUCGAGAAAUUGAGGCUAAUAUCCCAUAACACUGCGAGAUGGCAUCAUUUUGCAGUUAAAACUCCGGUGGUUAUAGAUGGGCAUGCGCGACAUUAGCUAGUUGGUGAGGUAACGGCCACCAAGGCUACGAUGUCUAGGGGUUCUGAGAGGAUUAUCCCCCACACUGGUACUGAGACACGGACCAGACUCCUACGGGAGGCAGCAGUAAGGAAUAUUGGUCAAUGGGCGCAAGCCUGAACCAGCCAUGCCGCGUGCAGGAAGACGGCCCUAAUGGGUUGUAAAACUGCUUUUGUCAGGGAAUAAACCUGUCUACGAGUAGGCAGCUGAAGGUACCUGAAGAAUAAGCAAUCGGCUAACUCCGUAGCCAGCAGCCG